UUGAAGAGUUUGAUCAUGGCUCAGAUUGAACGCUGGCGGCAGGCCUAACACAUGCAAGUCGAACGGUAACAGGAAACAGCUUGCUGUUUCGCUGACGAGUGGCGGACGGGUGAGUAAUGUCUGGGAAACUGCCUGAUGGAGGGGGAUAACUACUGGAAACGGUAGCUAAUACCGCAUAACGUCGCAAGACCAAAGAGGGGGACCUUCGGGCCUCUUGCCAUCGGAUGUGCCCAGAUGGGAUUAGCUUGUUGGUGGGGUAACGGCUCACCAAGGCGACGAUCCCUAGCUGGUCUGAGAGGAUGACCAGCCACACUGGAACUGAGACACGGUCCAGACUCCUACGGGAGGCAGCAGUGGGGAAUAUUGCACAAUGGGCGCAAGCCUGAUGCAGCCAUGCCGCGUGUAUGAAGAAGGCCUUCGGGUUGUAAAGUACUUUCAGCGGGGAGGAAGGGAGUAAAGUUAAUAUCUUUGCUCAUUGACGUUACCCGCAGAAGAAGCACCGGCUAACUCCGUGCCAGCAGCCGCGGUAAUACGGAGGGUGCAAGCGUUAAUCGGAAUUACUGGGCGUAAAGCGCACGCAGGCGGUUUGUUAAGUCAGAUGUGAAAUCCCCGGGCUCAACCUGGGAACUGCAUCUGAUACUGGCAAGCUUGAGUCUCGUAGAGGGGGGUAGAAUUCCAGGUGUAGCGGUGAAAUGCGUAGAGAUCUGGAGGAAUACCGGUGGCGAAGGCGGCCCCCUGGACGAAGACUGACGCUCAGGUGCGAAAGCGUGGGGAGCAAACAGGAUUAGAUACCCUGGUAGUCCACGCCGUAAACGAUGUCGACUUGGAGGUUGUGCCCUUGAGGCGUGGCUUCCGGAGCUAACGCGUUAAGUCGACCGCCUGGGGAGUACGGCCGCAAGGUUAAAACUCAAAUGAAUUGACGGGGGCCCGCACAAGCGGUGGAGCAUGUGGUUUAAUUCGAUGCAACGCGAAGAACCUUACCUGGUCUUGACAUCCACAGAACUUUCCAGAGAUGGAUUGGUGCCUUCGGGAACUGUGAGACAGGUGCUGCAUGGCUGUCGUCAGCUCGUGUUGUGAAAUGUUGGGUUAAGUCCCGCAACGAGCGCAACCCUUAUCCUUUGUUGCCAGCGGUCCGGCCGGGAACUCAAAGGAGACUGCCAGUGAUAAACUGGAGGAAGGUGGGGAUGACGUCAAGUCAUCAUGGCCCUUACGACCAGGGCUACACACGUGCUACAAUGGCGCAUACAAAGAGAAGCGACCUCGCGAGAGCAAGCGGACCUCAUAAAGUGCGUCGUAGUCCGGAUUGGAGUCUGCAACUCGACUCCAUGAAGUCGGAAUCGCUAGUAAUCGUGGAUCAGAAUGCCACGGUGAAUACGUUCCCGGGCCUUGUACACACCGCCCGUCACACCAUGGGAGUGGGUUGCAAAAGAAGUAGGUAGCUUAACCUUCGGGAGGGCGCUUACCACUUUGUGAUUCAUGACUGGGGUGAAGUCGUAACAAGGUAACCGUAGGGGAACCUGCGGUUGGAUCACCUCCUU
rnacentral:rRNA from 1 species